GUCCACGCCGUAAACGAUGAAUACUAGGUGUAGGGGUAUCGACCCCUCUGUGCCGCAGCAAACGCAAUAAGUAUUCCGCCUGGGGAGUACGGCCGCAAGGUUGAAACUCAAAGGAAUUGACGGGGCCCGCACAAGCGGUGGAGCAUGUGGUUUAAUUCGAUGCAACGCGAAGAACCUUACCUGGUCUUGACAUAGUAAGAACUUUCCAGAGAUGGAUUGGUGCCUUCGGGAACUUACAUACAGGUGCUGCAUGGCUGUCGU
rnacentral:rRNA from 1 species